rnacentral:rRNA from 1 species
GACGAACGCUGGCGGCGUGCUUAACACAUGCAAGUCGAACGGAAAGGCCCCUUUGGGGGUACUCGAGUGGCGAACGGGUGAGUAACACGUGAGUAACCUGCCCUUGACUUCGGGAUAACUUCAGGAAACUGGGGCUAAUACCGGAUAGGAAUCCUUGCUGCAUGGUGGGGGUUGGAAAGCUUCGGCGGUUUUGGAUGGACUCGCGGCUUAUCAGCUUGUUGGUGGGGUAGUGGCUUACCAAGGCUUUGACGGGUAGCCGGCCUGAGAGGGCGACCGGCCACAUUGGGACUGAGAUACGGCCCAGACUCCUACGGGAGGCAGCAGGGGGGAAGAUUGCACAAUGGGCGGAAGCCUGAUGCAGCAACGCCGCGUGCGGGAGGACGGCCUUCGGGUUGUAAACCGCUUUCAGCAGGGGCGAAGCUUGUGGUGACGGUACCUGCAGAAGAAGCACCGGCUAACUACGUG